rnacentral:rRNA from 1 species
AAAAUGGCGUGCUUUAACACAUGCAAGUCGAGCGAACUGAUUAGAAGCUUGCUUCUAUGACGUUAGCGGCGGACGGGUGAGUAACACGUGGGCAACCUGCCUGUAAGACUGGGAUAACUCCGGGAAACCGGAGCUAAUACCGGAUAACAUUUUUUCUUGCAUAAGAGAAAAUUGAAAGAUGGUUUCGGCUAUCACUUACAGAUGGGCCCGCGGUGCAUUAGCUAGUUGGUGAGGUAACGGCUCACCAAGGCAACGAUGCAUAGCCGACCUGAGAGGGUGAUCGGCCACACUGGGACUGAGACACGGCCCAGACUCCUACGGGAGGCAGCAGUAGGGAAUCUUCCGCAAUGGACGAAAGUCUGACGGAGCAACGCCGCGUGAGUGAUGAAGGCUUUCGGGUCGUAAAACUCUGUUGUUAGGGAAGAACAAGUACAAGAGUAACUGCUGACUGAUCGGACCAUCAG